rnacentral:lncRNA from 1 species
GAAACUUUAAACACGAAACCAACUUCAGUAGGAUACUAGCGAUCCGAAACAGAUCGAAGAACCUAAGACCUUAGCUAACAAACCCGCGUUAACAAGAUACUAGUUAUUCCAAACAACAAUCAGAAGCACGAACUUCACAAAAAUGUAUGGUCCUUAAGACCUCAACAACAAACAAAGCCAGCAACCAUGAUUAUACACAACAUAGCUAUACGGCUAAAAUGCUACAGCAGCAUCGCUUAGAAGAAUAAAGAAAAAGAAGAACGCAUUUUGAAACCAAAAGAGAUGAAGGGUUACCUGCUUCGGGGCAGCAAAACAGGACUCCCAAGCUAAUAUUAGACUCCAACACCACCGAAAAUCGGACCCUCUAGAAUGAUGAGUAAUUGACAACUCGAAAUAAACUUAUUGGAAAAUCAAAGUUUUACUGCGUUUUCUUCUUCCCCUCCCAGACCCUAAAGAAACAUGUUUCCAACCUAGAUUUAAACAGUAACCCCUUUCCCAAAGAAAGAUCUCCCCAAGCUUCUAACUCCAGAAACUUUUAUUCAAAUUUUCGAACCGUCGCCUCUUCGAGAAAAGAACCCCCAGAAAACCUCUCCAAAUCCCUUACUUUGAAUCAAAAUCGACCCAAACCCUAAAUUUCUCCACUCUUAGAACCUUAGAGCUCCCAGAAAAAUCCUCCUCUUCAGACCCUAAAGAGAGCUAUUUAUAGAAGGGGGGGUUGAGGGUUCGUUUUGAAUCCUCACAAAUCGCACCCCUAUUGUUCUUCUUGAACGGAUUUUCAACAGAUGGCCAACAACCAUUGGGGCAAAAUGAACGAAUGAAAAUUUGCCGAACAGGUAUGAAUCCGAAAAUCACGGAAUUCGGACGUUGGGGGUAACACCUCACUCUCUUUCUAGAAGAUUUCGUACCAAAAUCAUGUGGGAAAGCACGCGACUGUGAAGAGGAAGCAGAAAACGGGUUGAGAUAAGGGGAAUCGGGGGGGAAAUAGGUUGGGGUUUUGCAUGGUUGUUUUCGCAUUGCUGUUGGUGUAGCUUGUACGCGGUUUUUGUCGUGGCUGUUGUUUGUUUUUGGUGAGCUAUAAGCAGCUUUUGCUUAUUGAAGAAGAAAGGAUUAAAUGGUGUGGGCCGGGUAGGUUUUGUAGAUGUUUGUGCUGUUGAAAUUCGGGGCUAAUUUGGCAAAGUCAAAAGGAAAUUGGGCUUGGGCUUGUUAAUUUGAAGAGUGGCUUGGCAAUUUAAAAACUGAAAUUGAGGUUAUUAUAACACACCAAUUUGGCCUGAAAAUGCCCCGUUUAUGCCGUUUUACCCAUUUGACUACCCAAAAUAUCCUUGAAUAAAUAAAAAAAACCACACUGCGACGAUCCCCAACCUCUCUGGCAUACCCCGGUUGAUUUUUGGCCCACGUCACCCCCAAACCCUAGGCUACCCCCGAAGUCGUAGGCUUUAGCUUGAAUACACCCGUUUGCAUCGUUUGACCACCCAAAUGGCCUCGAAUAAAUAAACGAACCCUGGCAUCCUCAGUCAAUUCUUCACCCACGACACCUAUUUUGCGGAGAAAUUUUGACUUUUUGAGAAGAGUUACCACUUAAUUUUAAAAAAAAAUUAAGAAACCUGUAAAGAGUUACUUCAAACGAUCUAAAACCAAAAAAUCAUUUAAGUUAAGAGAUUCUGAAUAAGCGGUUCUUAUUAACGUUUUAGGAAGGUGUUAGGCACCUAAAAUGUCUUCGAUUAACUUCUGAAAUUUGAUUCAUUGAAAAAUGGUUGGUUUGCAAAAAAUUAAGUUUUAGCAAAUUCAUUAGGGGAUUUAACUAGGUUCGUAAAAGGCAUGCAAAACAAAUAAUCAAAAAGAAAGGGGAAGAGAGGAGAAGUAAUGAUUUAGGAUUUGAAGCCCAAACUAUUAAGCCUGUCCUAAUCUAGUUGGGUUUUCAACCUAUUUUUCCUCUCACCUGUCCUAUUUCUAUGUUUUCUGGCCCUUUGGCUCGAGUUUUCACUUUACCUGUAUUAAAUACAACUUUGGCUUCGAGGCCCAAAUGAAUGAAAAAUGAAUAAACAAAAUAAAAUAAAUAAUAAAUAAUAAAAAAACAACAACACUAAUUAAACAAAAUGAAAUAAUAAAUGAGACUUUUGUCACUUAGCCGCUUCAAAUACGGGACUUUAACCCGUUCCUUUUCUUUCGACUCUUUGUAUUUGCGCGCUAUUUAUCCGGCUUUGGGCUCUUUUUCUGGAUUGACCCAACAAGAUGGGCCUCACUGGCCCAUGAUGAAUGUGCAAGAGGGAGAGAGUUCAUGUAGGACUCAGUCGAAAGUAGGAGAGAUUAAUGUGCAGGCCCGAAGCGCAGUACACCAUACAGAUAUCCAACACAACAAAUCAAUAACAAAAGACAUGGAAUUAUUGUAAUUUUAAACAACAUAGCAAAUAGUAUGCAAAAGUAUAGAAAGUAAAAGAAACGCAAUUAUGGCUAGCACCAAUAUAUAAAUGAAACAUUUAAGACUACAUUUGUAAGAAUACUCAUAAACAGGAAUAAGCAAAUAAGGAGACGUACAAUAGAAUUGGGAAUUUAAAAUAAAUCUCUUAAGCGACCUAUUCAUAACACUAGUUGGGGAAAGAGCCAUUCUUUUCAGAGAGAUAAACCAGAGCCCCUCCCUGUACAAUUUCUUCAAAAAGGAUACAACUCCUAAACAUACCAUACCAAAAAUCGGAUAGCUUGGAACAGCGAACAACGAAAUACAAUAAUGACUUACUUAAGAAAGAGUGAAUGAAACUUGACAUAAGAGUUGUUCAAACAAGCCAAGACUCAAUAAGUUUGGAAGUUGAAGAAUAAGCAUAUUUGCACUACAGUGAGCAAGUAAGUAGCAGACCCCUGAGCAGCUAAGAAGGUCUUAAUAAUUAUCAAUCGAAUCGAAACAUGAAACUUUAAUCACAAAAGUCAGGUAAAAAAAAAUAAUUCCAACAGCCUGAAACUUUAAACACGAAACCAACUUCAGUAGGAUACUAGCGAUCCGAAACAGAUCGAAGAACCUAAGACCUUAGCUAACAAACCCGCGUUAACAAGAUACCAGUUAUUCCAAACAACAAUCAGAAGCACGAACUUCACAAAAAUGUAUGGUCUUUAAGACCUCAACAACCAACAACGCCAGCAACCACGAUUAUACACAACAUAGCUAUACGGCUAAAAUGCUACAGCAGCAUCGCUUAGAAGAAUAAAGAAAAAGAAGAACGCAUUUUGAAACCAAAAGAGAUGAAGGGUUACCUGCUUCGGGGCAGCAAAACAGGACUCCCAAGCUAAUAUUAGACUCCAACACCACCGAAAAUCGGACCCUCUAGAAUGAUGAGUAAUUGACAACUCGAAAUAAACUUAUUGGAAAAUCAAAGUUUUACUGCGUUUUCUUCUUCCCCUCCCAGACCCUAAAGAAACAUGUUUCCAACCUAGAUUUAAACAGUAACCCCUUUCCCAAAGAAAGAUCUCCCCAAGCUUCUAACUCCAGAAACUUUUAUUCAAAUUUUCGAACCGUCGCCUCUUCGAGAAAAGAACCCCCAGAAAACCUCUCCAAAUCCCUUACUUUGAAUCAAAAUCGACCCAAACCCUAAAUUUCUCCACUCUUAGAACCUUAGAGCUCCCAGAAAAAUCCUCCUCUUCAGACCCUAAAGAGAGCUAUUUAUAGAAGGGGGGGUUGAGGGUUCGUUUUGAAUCCUCACAAAUCGCACCCCUAUUGUUCUUCUUGAACGGAUUUUCAACAGAUGGCCAACAACCAUUGGGGCAAAAUGAACGAAUGAAAAUUUGCCGAACAGGUAUGAAUCCGAAAAUCACGGAAUUCGGACGUUGGGGGUAACACCUCACUCUCUUUCUAGAAGAUUUCGUACCAAAAUCAUGUGGGAAAGCACGCGACUGUGAAGAGGAAGCAGAAAACGGGUUGAGAUAAGGGGAAUCGGGGGGGAAAUAGGUUGGGGUUUUGCAUGGUUGUUUUCGCAUUGCUGUUGGUGUAGCUUGUACGCGGUUUUUGUCGUGGCUGUUGUUUGUUUUUGGUGAGCUAUAAGCAGCUUUUGCUUAUUGAAGAAGAAAGGAUUAAAUGGUGUGGGCCGGGUAGGUUUUGUAGAUGUUUGUGCUGUUGAAAUUCGGG